AGGAGUCAGCACUGUGAGGGGCUGCCCAUAAGAAAUCACUGAAUGUGAUUGUGAACUUUUGAGAUAACAACCAUUUUUGCCUGGGAAAUACUUUGACUGUGGCUGUUUUGGAAAUGCCAAGGAUGAUCAUGCUCAGUUAUCUCUGCUGUGAAGAUUUUCCCCUGCACCUUUUUGAAUAUUAGUCUCAAUUCAGAAACUUAGAACAACCACAACUAAUAAUCUAAAGAUUGGAAAAGCUUGAACUGAAGCCACAAGGGAGCUAGAAGGAAUUAAGAGGGAAGUCCGGUGAUCAGAGGCAGCAGAGAGAAGUCAUGUGCAGUUCAGACAUUUGUUAU